rnacentral:rRNA from 1 species
UCCGCCUACAGAAAAGCUCGCGGCUGAUUAGCUAGUUGGUAAGGUAAUGGCUUACCAAGGCGACGAUCAGUAUCUGGUUUGAGAGGACGAUCAGACACACUGGAACUGAGACACGGUCCAGACUCCUACGGGAGGCAGCAGUGGGGAAUUUUCCGCAAUGGGCGAAAGCCUGACGGAGCAAUACCGCGUGAGGGAAGACAGCCUACUGGGUUGUAAACCUCUUUUUUCAGGGAGGAAAAAAAUGACGUGUACCUGAAGAAUAAGCAUCGGCUAACUCCGUGCCAGCAGCCGCGGUAAGACGGAGGAUGCAAGUGUUAUCCGGAAUUACUGGGCGUAAAGCGUCUGUAGGUGGUUUAAUAAGUCAACUGUUAAAUCUUGAGGCUUAACUUUCAAAACAGCAGUCGAAACUAUUAGACUAGAGUAUAGUAGGGGUAAAGGGAAUUUCCAGUGGAGCGGUGAAAUGCCUU